rnacentral:rRNA from 1 species
UACGUAGGGUCCGAGCGUUGUCCGGAAUCAUUGGGCGUAAAGAGCGUGUAGGCGGCUUGUAGGUCACGUGUUAAAGCCUGCGGCUCAACCGCAGAAUCGCACGUGAAACCACCUGGCUAGAGUCCGGAGAGGAGAGCGGAAUUCCUGGUGUAGCGGUGAAAUGCGCAGAUAUCAGGAAGAACACCCGUGGCGAAGGCGGCUC